rnacentral:rRNA from 1 species
AUACGUAGGGGGCGAGCGUUGUCCGGAAUGAUUGGGCGUAAAGGGCGCGUAGGCGGCCCGGUAAGUCUGGAGUGAAAGUCCUGUUUUUAAGAUGGGAAUUGCUUUGGAUACUGUCGGGCUUGAGUGCAGGAGAGGUAAGUGGAAUUCCCAGUGUAGCGGUGAAAUGCGUGGAGAUUGGGAGGAACACCAGUGGCGAAGGCGGCUUACUGGACUGUAACUGAAGCUGAGGCGCGAAAGUGUGGGGAGCAAUCAGGAGUAGAUACCCUGGUAGUCCACACUGUAAACGAUGAAUUCUAGGUGGAGGGGGUAUCGACCCGUUCUGUGCCGCAGUCAACACAAUAAGCAUUCCGCCUGGGGAGUACGGCCGCAAGGUUGAAACUCAAAGGAAUUGACGGGG